UACGUAGGGUGCAAGCGUUGUCCGGAAUUAUUGGGCGUAAAGAGCUUGUAGGCGGUUUGUCGCGUCUGCCGUGAAAAUCCGGGGCUCAACCCCGGACUUGCGGUGGGUACGGGCAGACUAGAGUGUGGUAGGGGGAGACUGGAAUUCCUGGUGUAGCGGUGAAAUGCGCAGAUAUCAGGAGGAACACCGAUGGCGAAGGCAGGUCUCUGGGCCACUACUGACGCUGAGAAGCGAAAGCGUGGGGAGCGAACAGG
rnacentral:rRNA from 1 species